UACGGGGGGAGCAAGCGUUGUUCGGAUUUACUGGGCGUAAAGGGCGCGUAGGCGGUAGCACAAGUCAGUUGUGAAAUCUCGGAGCUUAACUCCGAAACUGCAUUCGAUACUGCCGUGCUUGAGGACUGGAGAGGAGACUGGAAUUUACGGUGUAGCGGUGAAAUGCGUAGAUAUCGUAAGGAAGACCAGUGGCGAAGGCGGGUCUCUGGACAGUUCCUGACGCUGAGGCACGAAGGUCAGGGGAGCAAACGGG
rnacentral:rRNA from 1 species